CGAGUGACACUGUCCGAUAACAACGAGAAGCUGCUAAAAUGUGUAACACGCUACAGCAUCACUCUAUCCUGGACUUGUUGGCAUCAGGUGACCAGCUCUGUUAUGGGGUCAUAAUGGCCCUGCAAUAUGUAGAUGGUCUAGCGCUCGCCGCCUACUCUGUUACACCACAGGUACAGGUAGUACUUUCCGCAUCCAUGUCAGUUCGCGGUGAUGACCCCGCUGUGUGUAGGUGAAGGUGUGCCACUCAACCAAAUUCAAGCCCAGCACUACGUUUUCACACUGCCAAGUAUGCCAGUUUUGCUACACAAGCACUUCCAUGGUGCGGCCUACUAACUCCCUCCAGUGUCUUUGCUAUGGAGUUUUAUUGUUUAUUGCAUAACUAGACCUCAUUGAAGGUAUACUUUGAUUUUUUUUUGCGAGAGUAUUGGCUAGUGGUAACAUAUCAUGCUAGUUCGGUUCCAGUGUAGUGACCUCAAUUUACUGUCCCAGCUACUAAUAUGU
rnacentral:lncRNA from 1 species